rnacentral:snRNA from 1 species
AAAAAUGUAUAUAUAGAUAUAAA